AACGAACGCUGGUGGCAUGCCUAACACAUGCAAGUCGAACGAGACCUUCGGGUCUAGUGGCGCACGGGUGCGUAACGCGUGGGAACCUGCCCUUAUGUUCUGAAUAACUCCCCGAAAGGGGUGCGAAUACCGGAUAAUGUCUUCGGACCAAAGAUUUAUCGCCUUUGGAUGGGCCCGCGUUGGAUUAGCUAGUUGGUAGGGUAAAAGCCUACCAAGGCGACGAUCCAUAGCUGGUCCGAGAGGAUGAUCAGCCACACUGGGACUGAGACACGGCCCAGACUCCCAUGGGCGGAAGCAGUGGCGCAUAUUCGACACUGGGCGACCGCGUGAUCAAGCCAUGCAGCGUGAGUGAUGAAGGCCUUAGCGUUGUAAAGCUCUUUUACCAGGGAUGAUAAUGACAGUACCGGGCGCAUACGCCCCGGCUACCUCCGUG
rnacentral:rRNA from 1 species